rnacentral:rRNA from 1 species
AGGGUUUGAUUAUGGCUCAGGAUGAACGCUAGCUACAGGCUUAACACAUGCAAGUCGAGGGGAAACGACAUUGGAAGCUUGCUUCCGGUGGGCGUCGACCGGCGCACGGGUGAGUAACGCGUAUCCAACCUGCCCACCACUUGGGAAUAACCUUGCGAAAGUAAGACUAAUGCCCAAUGACAUUGAGUGCAGACAUCUAAUCUCAAUUAAAGAUUUAUCGGUGAUGGAUGGGGAUGCGUCCGAUUAGCUUGUUGGCGGGGUAACGGCCCACCAAGGCAACGAUCGGUAGGGGUUCUGAGAGGAAGGUCCCCCACAUUGGAACUGAGACACGGUCCAA